GGCAACCCUGACGGAGCAACGCCGCGUGUGGGAGGACGGCCUUCGGGUUGUAAACCACUUUUCUCAGGGAAGAAGAACUGACGGUACCUGAGGAAUAAGCCUCGGCUAACUCCGUGCCAGCAGCCGCGGUAAGACGGAGGAGGCAAGCGUUAUCCGGAAUUAUUGGGCGUAAAGCGUCCGCAGGGGGCGCAUCAAGUCUGCUGUUAAAGGCUGGAGCUUAACUCCGGUAGAGCAGUGGAAACUGGUGCGCUAGAGGGCGACAGGGGUAGAGGGAAUUCCCAGUGUAGCGGUGAAAUGCGUAGAGAUUGGGAAGAACACCGGUGGCGAAAGCGCUCUACUGGGUCGCACCUGACCCUCAGGGACGAAAGCUAAGGUAGCG
rnacentral:rRNA from 1 species